CCUUGAAAGCUGCAAAAAAAGAGUGAGAGAUCUAGGUUUGGCCUGUACAUUAUGAGCAGGUUCCAUAUCUUGAGCUUGCAACAAGCUUCCAAUAUUCUCUGUACAAACUGGUCCUCGACAUUGACACCGGUUAGCUUCCGAUAGCUUCUCUGGGUUUUAUUUGGAAAGAGGUCAUCUUCUAGCAUAUUCCUGGUCUUGAACUUGCAACAAGCUUCCAUUUCUCUCUGCACAAACCGGUCCUUGACAUUGAUGGUGGCAUGCUAUUAAUAUAUUCUCUAAGAGUUUUAUUUGGAAGAAGGUCGUC
rnacentral:lncRNA from 1 species